GACGAACGCUGGCGGCGUGCUUAACACAUGCAAGUCGAACGGAAAGGCCUGGUUCUUGUGGGGUCCUCGUGUGCCGCACGCGUGUGAAUCACGCGUGUAAAAUCCCCUUGACUGUGGGGUAACACCAGGAAACUGGGGCGAUUAUAGCGUAUGAGCUCUUUCAACAUGGUGGGUGUGGGAGAGUUAUGGCGGUUGGGGAUGGACGCGCGGCUUAGCGGCUUGUUGGUGGGGUAGUGGCGUACCAAGUCUUCGAGGGGUAGCCGGCCUGGGAGGGUGACCGGCCCCAUUGGGCCUGAGAUACGGCCCAGACUCCUACGGGAGGCAGCGGUGGGGAAUAUUGCACAAUGGGCGGAAGCCUGAUGCAGCAACGCCGCGUGCGGAAUGACGGCCUUCGGGUUGAAAACCGCUUUCGCCUGUGACGAAGCGUGAGUGACGGUAAUGGGUAAAGAAGCACCGGCUAACUACGUG
rnacentral:rRNA from 1 species